AAAUGAAGGAAUAUUGACCCCUUAAGGACACAUGACAUGUCAUGAUUCCCUUUUAUUCCAGAAAUCUGGUCCUUAAGGGGUUAAACAAUUAAUCUGUCAGUAUUUCAGAACUGCUUGCAAAACAUAACUGAAAGGAAGUCACAAGCUAUGACAGUUUCUAUGUAUCAGGAAAUGCCUAACCACAAUGUAUAUGUGAUAUUUUGUAAGAUUAGAUUAUUGAAUGUAACAGCAGAAACUACUUCCUCUUUUAUGUAUCUUGUGUAACCUUUUUGUAACCUUUUUGUAACCUUUUGUAACCAAUAUUCGUGACAAGUAUAGUAUAAAUAUAGCGAAUCUUGAAUAAACGAUCAGAAGAUUAUGGAGAGCAAAAAGUGUGUGUCUGGUUAAUACGCUUCCAUAAAAAUCUUCCCUGAAUAUUCAGCUGACAAUCGAGGGUUGGAGAAUAGUGACCAGAGGGACCGAGUCACCAGAGUAGCAGAUUUACCUUUCAGCUUGGUGUCAGAAGUGGGAUUGUAGCCAAAACCAUUUUGGGUGAGUAGUAAUUCCUUGUGUCUAUCUUGACGCCCUGAAUCUAUGAUCCCCAUGGUUUUGUAAGUCUACAUCAUUUUAGGAAAGGUUAUUUAGUAUAUGUGUUUUCUGUGACUCAGUUUUACAUAAGGUCCCGUUACAUUAGUCUAGUAAGGGAACUAGACAGAGAGAUAUAUGUAUUUCUAGUAAGUGAACUAGAGAAGGUCUAAUAAGAGAAUUGGACAGAUAAAGUCUAUAAAGUGAUAUAGACAGAGAAUUUAGUAUAUAAGUGAAUAUACUACGAUAGUGUGCACAGAGUUUCAGGUUCACCUUGUCCACCCUCUAAUUGUCAUUAGUUAAGUCUGGUUGUGAGUGUGAAUAAGUGUUUGAAAGAUUUGUCCUAGGAAUGGGAAAUUACCAUGUAAGAAUAUGAAGUAGUUAACUUUUCUUGUUCAUAUGUAUUUUAUGCUUAAAUAAGGUUUAUAAUCAUUAGUGCUGACUGUAAGGAUAUGAAAUAGUUAAACUCUUUUUGCUUUAUAUGCUAACCCUGAAAAUAUACUCACUGAGAAUCUUGUUAAAGCACAUUUGUAGUGUCCAUGUCUUUAUUGCAAAAAAAUGAUUCUCCAUCAAUGGGGUGAUUGUCUAUACUGGGGACACACUUUGGUAAGUUAGUAGUGUGUCCACCCUGAGUCAGCAGUAUGGGAAAUGUGAGUUCAGGUCCUGAGUGACCAAUAUAUAUAUACAUAAGAUACCAGUACUGUAUAUUAGAAAAGAACUGACUCGCAGGUUGUACCUGAUAGACCUACUUAAAUCUUUUGUUUUAUUCUUUCUGUUGCAUAGAAGUAUAAGUUUAUUACUCUGUUUUAUUGCAAGUUAUUUCACAUGGGAUCUGUGUGCCUGAUAUGAUUGUUGCUUUAAUACCAUAAGCCCACUACACUUUCUAUGAGAGUGGGAUAGUGUAAAUGUGUUGCAUUGUUUGCAUGAUGAGCUCAGUAUUUUUAGAACUGAGACAAAAAGUCACUUCAUUAGUAUUUGAACGUUAAUUCCCCAUAUGGGAUUAAUUGUAUAGAAACACCAAUCAGCACAUCUUCCCUGCCCUGUGUGUUUGUUGCAAAGGAUCCAUACCAUUAAUAUGAUUUUUGUUUGUAAAUAAGAGAGCAACAUUUACAUUUUCAGCGGUCCAACACAUGCUUCAUUUUGUGCUGUAAGCUAACCUUUUUAUUGCUACAGAUGCUUUAAAUGAUUCAGCUACUGCAUAUGUUUUGUGUCUUCUAUGUCUCACAUUAUAUGUGUUCUGUUCUUUUAAAUUGUGGUAUAUAGCCUGGAUCAGAGAUUAUGGACAAAGGUUUCUACCUGUUUUACUAAGGCUCUUGGAGACUGACCGGUCUAAGGUUUGCCAUGCCUUUUAAACAUGGUAUAGAAUAAUUUUUUUUAAGUCUCUGAGAGUUCUGUAAGAUUCUGGUGAAACCAUGUCUGUGUAAUCUGGUCCAAAUGUUUGCUCAAUUUCUAUAAGAUGUAAGUUGAUGCAGCAUCACUUCAGAUUAGUUAAUGGAAGUUUCAUACAAAUAUUUGAGUUAUGAGUGCGCUAUAUAAAUGGAUCCUUUCUCUAUAUACAAUACUAUAGUAGAUUAAAGUAAUGAAGUUAAUAAGAAUUAAAAAAAAAAAAAAGUAUACAUAAGAAUCCCUAAAAUAAAUCUAAUAUAAACUAAAAUUGGUAUACCUUACAAUAAUAUGUUCUGAGUACAGCUGUUAACUGUUUAUUCUGUGUAAAUGGUGAUUGUGAUAAUGUGUGAAGUGUGCAGCUUACCUGGAAAGUGGUUUAAUUUAUAUGUUGCUGUGUUGUUUUCUGAUUGUGUUCUGAUAUAGCUAUAUGGGAAUGGAGAUUUGGAGGUGUUAGUUUAAGACUGCUUUCAUAUUGUGUCUACCCGUGUUUCCUAGGAGGGACACAGAGUGUGUAGUUGUGUGCUCAUGAAUGUGUUUUCAAUAUUGGCAUAUCUGCUGGGUACCCGAUACGUGUAUCUACUACGUCUGUUUUGUGAGAUGUCUGUUUUGUGAGAUGACAUGUAAUAUUACAUUGAAUGCUGAGUAUGAGUUAUAUGGUUUGAAAUGAAUUGGUGUGUUAUGUGUUUCAUGUAUUUUAUUGUCCAUUGUGUAGGAGUUUAACUAGCAGAGUGAUUUGCAUAUCAUUAACACAAGCAUUUAGUGUUUUUACAAAAGGUGAAAUGCUGUCCAGCCGGCUAGAAUGAAACAAUUGUAUGCUAUCGCUCCUGGAGCAAGAAAAGCGCUUGUUACAUCCCACGUGAAAGGGGCCCCGCAAACUUCUGCUGUUCAAAUCGUGGAUCCACAUUUCCAUUUGCAAAUUGAUUAAUCCUGAAAGUCAUUCUUUUACUGAUAAAAAGGAUUGAAUGGACAAGAUGUCUCUCCCUCAUAAAGGAGUUCUAAUAGGGGAGUAUUGUCCAGCUCAGAGUUAACUCUACUUUUAAAGUAUAUUGCAUUGUUUGUGUCAAAGUAAGAUUCAUCUAGUAUGUCUCAUUGAUUAUGGGGUAAUAAUAACAUGGUAUUUUUAUUGGAGAUUAGACAAUUUCUGAAAUUUAUAAGUGAGGUAAUUUUAAUCUCCUAAACUACUGUAUUAUAUUUGUAUGGGUAAAUUGAAAGCAUUUUGCAGAUCCAGAGGAGCAUUAAUAAAUAAUAUAAUAAUCUCACUAGGAGCCAAAUUAUGCAAAGAGGCUAUCCAAAGUAUGCACUAACGGGUUAAACUUGUUUUCUUGAUAAGCGUAUAACAUUUAGUUUUGUGGUUAGACUUUUGAUACUCAAUUUAAAAUAUGUCCCAACUACAUCCUUGCACGGCACCAGGUACAGGAAGCAAUUUGCGUUUUAAAAAUUUGCAAGGUCUUAGUGUUUUCAAUAUAUUAUAACAAUGGAAAAGUACCUAACCGCAUGUCUGCAUUAUGCUCAUGACACAGACCCUAUAUGAAGGCUAUGCAAACCCUAUAUGAAGGCUAUGCUUUCAUUGUCGAUGUAUAUACCCCUAGACAACCUUGCUUUAUAUACAAAAUUUAACUAUCCAUU